rnacentral:snRNA from 1 species
AGAUAGGGCGAUCUGGCUGCAGCAUUUGUCCACCCCAUUGAUCACCAGGGUUGAUUUGGCUGAUCUGGCUGGCUAGGCAGGUGUCCCCUUCCUCCAUCAAUGCUCCACGUGUCCCUCCCGAAGCAGCACACUCGGUCGAAGAGGACGACCUUCCCCAAUAGAGGAGGACCGGUCUUUGGUCAAGGGUAUACGAGUAGCUGUGCUCCCCUGCUAGAACCGCCAAACAAACUCUCAAGGUCCACUUCCUGUCUUUAAGGAAUGAUUUGAGUAUGGCCCUUUAGUCUAAAAUCACAGAAACCUU